GAUGAACGCUGGCGGCGUGCCUAAUACAUGCAAGUCGAGCGAACGGACGAGAAGCUUGCUUCUCUGAUGUUAGCGGCGGACGGGUGAGUAACACGUGGAUAACCUACCUAUAAGACUGGGAUAACUUCGGGAAGCCGGAGCUAAUACCGGAUAAUAUUUUGAACCGCAUGGUUCAAAAGUGAAAGACGGUCUUGCUGUCACUUAUAGAUGGAUCCGCGCUGUAUUAGCUAGUUGGUAAGGUAACGGCUUACCAAGGCAACGAUGCAUAGCCGACCUGAGAGGGUGAUCGGCCACACUGGAACUGAGACACGGUCCAGACUCCUACGGGAGGCAGCAGUAGGGAAUCUUACGCAAUGGGCGAAAGCCUGACGGAGCAACGCCGCGUGAGUGAUGAAGGUCUUCGGAUCGUAAAACUCUGUUAUUAGGGAAGAACAUAUGUGUAAGUAACUGUGCACAUCUUGACGGUACCUAAUCAGAAAGCCACGGCUAACUACGUG
rnacentral:rRNA from 1 species